UGGGACUCUUGAAGUCUUAGUGGCGCAGCUAACGCACUAAGUAGACCGCCUGGGGAGUACGGCCGCAAGGUUAAAACUCAAAUGAAUUGACGGGGGCCCGCACAAGCGGUGGAGCAUGUGGUUUAAUUCGACGCAACGCGAAGAACCUUACCUGGCCUUGACAUGCAGAGAACUUUCCAGAGAUGGAUUGGUGCCUUCGGGAACUCUGACACAGGUGCUGCAUGGCCGUCGUCAGCUCGUGUCGUGAGAUGUUGGGUUAAGUCCCGUAACGAGCGCAACCCCUAUCCCUAGUUGCUAGCAGUUCGGCUGAGAACUCUAGGGAGACUGCCGGUGACAAACCGGAGGAAGGUGGGGAUGACGUCAGGUCAUCNUGGCCCUUACGGCCAGGGCUACACACGUGCUACAAUGGUGCGUACAGAGGGCUGCAAACCCGCGAGGGGGAGCUAAUCUCACAAAACGCAUCGUAGUCCGGAUCGGAGUCUGCAACUCGACUCCGUGAAGUCGGAAUCGCUAGUAAUCGCGAAUCAGAAUGUCGCGGUGAAUACGUUCCCGGGCCUUGUACACACCGCCCGUCACACCAUGGGAGUGGAUUGCACCAGAAGUGGUUAGUCUAACCUUCGGGAGGACGAU
rnacentral:rRNA from 1 species